rnacentral:rRNA from 1 species
AGAGUUUGAUUCUGGCUCAGAACGAACGCUGGCGGCGUGGAUAAGACAUGCAAGUCGAACGAGAGAAUUGCUAGCUUGCUAAUAAUUCUCUAGUGGCGCACGGGUGAGUAACACGUGAGUAACCUGCCCCCGAGAGCGGGAUAGCCCUGGGAAACUGGGAUUAAUACCGCAUAGUAUCGAAAGAUUAAAGCAGCAAUGCGCUUGGGGAUGGGCUCGCGGCCUAUUAGUUAGUUGGUGAGGUAACGGCUCACCAAGGCGAUGACGGGUAGCCGGUCUGAGAGGAUGUCCGGCCACACUGGAACUGAGACACGGUCCAGACACCUACGGGUGGCAGCAGUCGAGAAUCAUUCACAAUGGGGGAAACCCUGAUGGUGCGACGCCGCGUGGGGGAAUGAAGGUCUUCGGAUUGUAAACCCCUGUCAUGUGGGAGCAAAUUAAAAAGAUAGUACCACAAGAGGAAGAGACGGCUAACUCUGUGCCAGCAGCCGCGGUAAUACAGAGGUCUCAAGCGUUGUUCGGAAUCACUGGGCGUAAAGCGUGCGUAGGCUGUUUCGUAAGUCGUGUGUGAAAGGCGCGGGCUCAACCCGCGGACGGCACAUGAUACUGCGAGACUAGAGUAAUGGAGGGGGAACCGGAAUUCUCGGUGUAGCAGUGAAAUGCGUAGAUAUCGAGAGGAACACUCGUGGCGAAGGCGGGUUCCUGGACAUUAACUGACGCUGAGGCACGAAGGCCAGGGGAGCGAAAGGGAUUAGAUACCCCUGUAGUCCUGGCAGUAAACGGUGCACGCUUGGUGUGCGGGGAAUCGACCCCCUGCGUGCCGGAGCUAACGCGUUAAGCGUGCCGCCUGGGGAGUACGGUCGCAAGAUUAAAACUCAAAGAAAUUGACGGGGACCCGCACAAGCGGUGGAGUAUGUGGCUUAAUUCGAUGCAACGCGAAGAACCUUACCUGGGCUUGACAUGUAAUGAACAACAUGUGAAAGCAUGCGACUCUUCGGAGGCGUUACACAGGUGCUGCAUGGCCGUCGUCAGCUCGUGUCGUGAGAUGUUUGGUUAAGUCCAGCAACGAGCGCAACCCCUGUUGCCAGUUACCAGCACGUGAAGGUGGGGACUCUGGCGAGACUGCCCAGAUCAACUGGGAGGAAGGUGGGGACGACGUCAGGUCAGUAUGGCCCUUAUGCCCAGGGCUGCACACGUACUACAAUGCCCAGUACAGAGGGGGCCGAAGCCGCGAGGCGGAGGAAAUCCUAAAAACUGGGCCCAGUUCGGACUGUAGGCUGCAACCCGCCUACACGAAGCCGGAAUCGCUAGUAAUGGCGCAUCAGCUACGGCGCCGUGAAUACGUUCCCGGGUCUUGUACACACCGCCCGUCACAUCAUGGAAGCCGGUCGCACCCGAAGUAUCUGAAGCCAACCGCAAGGAGGCAGGGUCCUAAGGUGAGACUGGUAACUGGGAUGAAGUCGUAACAAGGUAGCCGUAGGGGAACCUG